rnacentral:rRNA from 1 species
AUGGUGCAGUAUAAUUUCAAGAAAAUCACUGUUGUCCCUCCUGGGAAGGACUUCAUUGACAUAAUCUUGUCCCGCACUCAGAGGCAAACACCAACUGUUGUCCACAAGGGCUAUGCUAUCAACCGCAUUCGCCAGUUCUAUAUGCGCAAGGUUCGCUAUACCCAGCAGAACUUCUAUGAAAAGCUGUCCACCAUCAUCGAUGAGUUCCCCAGACUGGAUGACAUCCACCCUUUCUAUGGCGAUCUCCUUCAUGUGCUCUACAACAAGGAUCACUACAAACUUGCCUUGGGUCAGAUCAAUACAGCUAGAAAUAUCAUUGCAAAGAUCUCCAAGGACUAUCUGAGGCUGCUCAAGUAUGGAGACACCCUGUACCGGUGCAAGUGCCUGAAGGUAGCUGCACUAGGUCGCAUGUGUACUGUUCUAAAGCGUAUCAGUCCUAGUUUGGCAUACCUGGAGCAGAUCAGGCAGCACAUGGCCAGCUCUUUCAUGAACAAGGUUACGAGGGCUGAUGUGGACGUACAGCCUUAUGCUUUCACAACAAAAUCCCUUUUUGUUGGCCAUGCAGAUUACAAGUAUCUGCGGUACCAAGUGAUUGACACUCCAGGGAUCCUUGAUCGUCCUUUUGAGGACAGGAACAUCAUAGAGAUGUGCAGUAUCACCGCUGUUGCUCACUUGAGGGCUGCUGUGCUGUUCUUCUUGGACAUCUCUGGUUCUUGUGGGUACACUAUUGCUCAGCAAGCUGCACUCUUCCACAGUAUUAAAUCCUUGUUCAUGAAUAAGCCUCUGGUCAUUGUGUGCAACAAGACUGAUUUGCAGCCGCUUGACGGGCUUUCUGAAGAGGACAUGAAGCUGGUGAUGGAGAUGAAGUCAGAGGCUAUGAAGACUAUACCUCAAGGUGGAGAUCCUAGUGAAGAGGGUGUUUUGUUGACUAUGAGUGCUUUAACAGAUGAGGGUGUGAUGGCUGUUAAAAAUGCUGCAUGUGAGAGGCUUCUUGAGCAGAGGGUGGAGAUCAAGAUGAAGUCAAAGAAGAUCAAUGACUGCAUAAACAGGUUUCAUGUUGCUAUGCCCAAGCCUCGUGACAACAGAGAUAGGCCUACUUGUAUUCCUCAGGCUGUUCUUGAAGCUCAAGCGAUUGCUGCUGCAAAGGAAAAGAAGAAACUUGAGAGGGACCUUGAGAAUGAGAAUGGAGGUGCUGGUGUCUAUUCCGCCAGUCUCAAGAAGCAUUACUUGUUGGCUGAUGAUGAAUGGAAGGAAGAUAUUCUCCCUGAGAUAUUGGAUGGCCAUAAUGUUGCUGAUUUCCUGGAUCCGGAUAUCUUGGAAAGGUGUGAGGAGCUGGAAAGGGAGGAGGGUCUUCGUCUUGAAGAAGAGGCUGCUCAGGAUGCUUUCAUGAUUGAUGGCCAUGAUGAAUUAACUGAAGAACAGCGAGAGAUAUUGGGUAAGAUUAGGAGGAAGAAGGCAAUGCUCAUCCAAGAGCAUAGGAUGAAGAAGAGUACUGCAGAGAGCCGUCCUAUUGUUCCAAGGAAGCAUGACAAGGAUAGGAAGUUCACAACCAAGAGACUGGGCAGGCAACUCACAUCCAUGGGCGUUGAUCCUACCGCGGCUGUGAACCGACUUCGCAGCCAGUCAAGAGGCCGUAAGCGUGAGAGGUCACUGAGCAGAGCUGAUGGUGACGACGCUAUGGACGUUGAUGGCCAGCACUCCGACAAGAAGCUGCGUACGAGGUCGAGGUCUAGGUCCAAAUCACGACCAAUUGAAGAGGUCGUACCAGGUGACGGGAUCCGGGACGUUGCUCAAAAGAAGAAGGCCAUCAAGAAAUCGAGGGACUCUGUCAAGAACAGGAACAAGGAGGCUCGCCGUGGAGAGGCGGAUCGCGUCAUCCCCACCUUGAAACCGAAGCAUCUCUUCUCUGGAAAACGAGGAGUUGGAAAGACCCAGAGGCGAUAA